CCUCUCCUCCGCAUCGCCUCGGCCCGCUGCCCCAACCGCUCGGCUGUCCCCGGCCCUCCCUGCCAGCCUUCGUGCCCCGAAGCGCGGGCGUCACUGUCCACUCACCAGGUCCUGGUCGGCCUGCUCCCAGCGACGUUGGAAGAGGCAACGGCAGAACUCCCCGAGCUGCCUCACAGAGGGCCGGUGAGGUGAUGCCGUGUUUGUACGCCCCUGAGUUUCUCACAAAAUGGCACAAAAAGUGGGUGGCUUGGUGAGGCGGACUAACCCGCCAAAUAUGUUCUUCCACACAUACUGAAGGCUGGAGGCCCAGCUCUGCGCCAGCUUCACAGGUGCCCACGGAGGAGCUUGCCCAGACCUGCACGCCGAGGAGAGCCGGUUGCAAGGCACGUCACUCCUGCACCCCCAGCCUGCAAGAUGAAGCAACCCUUCAGCCCAGCUCUCCUUCGGGACCCCCUCAAGCAGCAGCGGUAGGCAGGGUUCUUGAGUCCAACAAGCCCAAGUCAGAUCACUACAGGAAGAAUUUCUUCUAAGGAGAGAAUCAAAUGAAGCAGCAAGGAAAUCAUUCAGAGCACCUACUACCAAUCUCUCUUUGAUUGACAAGAAAGAACAGGACAGAAGAAUCUCUGGAGACUUUACUGCUGUUUGUAAGUACAACUGAUAAUCUUUUUUGACUUCUGUAUACAAUUAUCAACUAAAUAUGGAACAGGAAGAAACUUCUGAAAAUCUAAACUGACUUCGCUUAAACUUACAACUCCAUCUUUUUCCAGUCCAGAUGUCCUUUCUAGGUCAGAAAGUUGAUGCCUGUUAA